rnacentral:rRNA from 1 species
GAUGAACGCUGGCGGCGUGCCUAACACAUGCAAGUCGAGCGAACGGACGAGAAGCUUGCGUGUCUGUUGUUAGGGGCGGACGGGUGAGUAACACGUGGAUACCCCACCUAUAAGACUGGGAUAACUUCGGGAAACCGGAGCUAAUACCGGAUAAUAUUUUGACCCGCAUGGUUCAAAAGUGAAAGACGGUCUUGCUGUCACGUAUAGAUGGAUCCGCGCUGCAUUAGCUAGUUGGUAAGGUAACGGCUUACCAAGGCAACGAUGCAUAGCCGACCUGAGAGGGUGAUCGGCCACACUAGAACUGAAACACGGACCAGACUCCUACGGUACGGAGCAGUAGGGAACGAUCCGCAGUGGGCGAAAGCCUGACGGAGUAACGCCGCGUGAGUAGUGGAGGUCUUCGGAUCGUAAAGCUCUGUUAUUAGGGGAGAACAUAUGUGUAAGUAACUGUGCACUUCUUGACGGUACCUAAUCAGAAAGCCACGGCUAACUACGUG